GCGGAGGAAAAGAAAAUAACAAUGAUUUCCCCAGUAACGGCGAGUGAAGAGGAAAGAGCUCAAAGUUGGAACCUGUUUGGCUUAGCUAAACCGGAUUGUAAACUGUAGAAGUGUUUUCCUGACACGCCUGGUAAAAAAGUCCUUUGGAACAGGGCAUCAUAGAGGGUGAGAAUCCCGUCUUUGGCCAGAGCUGUUGUCUUUUGUGAUACAUUUUCAAAGAGUCAGGUUGUUUGGGAAUGCAGCCUAAAUUGGGUGGUAAAUCUCACCUAAAGCUAAAUAUUUGCGAGAGACCGAUAGCGAACAAGUACCGUGAGGGAAAGAUGAAAAGAACUUUGAAAAGAGAGUUAAACAGUAUGUGAAAUUGUUAAAAGGGAACCGUUUGGAGCCAGACUGGCUUGACUGUAAUCAAUCUAGGCUUCGGCCUGGAUGCACUUGCGGUCUAUGCCUGCCAACGACAGUUUUAUUUGGGGGAAAAAAUUAUUGGGAAUGUGGCCUUUCGAGGUGUUAUAGCCCUUUAAAAAAUACCCUGGAUUGGACUGAGGAACGCAGUGAAUGCCUUUAGGCAAGAUUGCUGGGUGCUUUCGCUAAUAAAUGCUAGAAUUUCUGCUUCGGGUGGUGCUAGUGUUUAAAGGUGGAACUCGCUUAGUAUAUUUUUUAUUCGCUUAGGUUGUUGGCUUAAUGACUCUAAAUGAC
rnacentral:rRNA from 1 species